UAGCUGUCGUUCCAAUUGAAGUGUUCCUCAAAUAUUGAUUCAAUACAUUACCUCGGGCUGACCAAUUCAUUUGAUCAAGUUCCUCGAGAUAUUCAUACACUCCCUAGUGUAAUUGUAAACUUCCUGUUGAAUAGUUUGAAUGCACCAAUCACUUUGUUGUUUGUGCAAUUAACCAAUCAUAAAUAGAAAGGAAGUGACCAGAAAUGGUCAAAAACUUGGAAUUGGCUCUUUCACAGGAAGUGUAUGAAUAUCUCGAGGACCUUGAUGAAAUGAGAUGCUUGUGUGAUGUUACUCUGAGUGUAUAUUCGAAUCCCACCGUGGCCAGGCAUAUUUUUCAAGCCUGCCCGGUGUGGAUAUACACUCAGAGUAACAUCACACAAGCAUCUUAUUCACCUGAGUACAUUACACCAACACAGCAAAUAUCAUGAUUAUUAGAAUGCACUGAUAUCGAAGGAACUAGAAACAGUUCCGAAAUAUCGCAUACUCGAACCGACCUGACCGCGUAGCUCAGUCGGCAGAGCAUUGGGCUAGUAUUCCAAAGGUCGUAGAUUCGAAUCCCACCGUUGCCAGGCAUAUUUUUCAAGCCUGCCCGGUGUGGAUAUACACUCAGAGUAACAUCACACAAGCAUCUUAUUCACCUGAGUAUAUUACACCAACACAACAAAUAUCUUGAUGAAAUGAAUUGGUCAGCCCGAGGUAAAAUAUUGAAUCAAUAUUUGAGGAACACUUCAAUUGGAACGACAGUUAUGCCAAUAAAAAUAAGGUAUGAAUCGCAUAAAAUGCAGAUAUCAACUCGAGCAUAAAAUGUGCAUAUUGUUCUAAAAGGCAAUUGUUCCUUGAAUGUUCAAUGAAAUAGUGCCAUCACCUUUUACAAGGAAGACCAUUAUGAAGAAAUACACUUGACUUUCUUCAUUGCCACCCUGUACUUAAUACAGAUAUACCAUAUUUUCUUGAUAAAUUCAUACCUGAAAGCGGAAUACAUACAGGUCUAAAAAACUUUAAUGGUGAUCGAUAUAAGUGCUUAUUCCAAAGAGUUGCUUCCCCAGAAUUUACUAAUAGAAUAAACCGUUAAAUCUCCAAAAAAACCUUUGUCACUCAGGGAAAUUUAUAGCAACACGGUUUUCAACAAGCUAUAUUUGUUUAAGUUUACUUACUGGAGAUUAUUAUAAUACUCGUGUUUUAAAGAAUCUUGAUAGUCAGUUGCAACACAAAUUCACAAUACAACAAGAAUUGAUAAAUCAUUUCAAUGACUUACACGCUUUGUCCUUGUGGCCGUCAAGCUCCAUUCAUGUCUUUUUAUUAUGGCUUUCGGUCUUUAUUGAUUUAUACGAGCAGUUAGAAUAAUAUUAUUUUUAGACGGACGAAAAUCAAAAUACUCUCCGUC